CCCCUCUCCGGCCCUGGCUUCUUGUUUUAAGAACACUCUCCAGGUGAUUUUGAUGCACAGCUGGACGUGAAACGUAAUGAACUUUGGCAAUAUUUUAUAAACUGUGGGUCAUGAUGUAUUUGUAUGUAAUGAAGUCAAUUUGGUGGUCUGCAAAAACCAUAUAAAAAUUAAGCAAUAUAAUAAAAUGGAAACUAUCAGAGUGCAUCACAUGUACUAAAGGUAAAUAUUUUUCAUGAAGCUCUUGCUACAGUUUUAUAUGUAUACUGGAUCUGGAUGAAAAUGGAUUUCUUGCUGUGCUUAUGUGUUCAAAAGCAUUUGAACACUAGUCUCGGGGUUAUGAAUUAGCAGUAGAGGCCAAAGAGCAGGCUCUACUUUUCUCUUGGAGGAGAGCCCUGUAUUAUUGGAAGCAACUACCUAACCAAUUUCUGGUUGGAGAACCUUUGAAGAGAGUGGCUGUUGGGGCCCAGAAUGGAGAUGCUGUUUGUGAACAGAACUGGACUAAGUGGAGAAAGAAGUGUCGUGGGAUUAGAAUAUCUGCAAGAAAAGAGAGAUAUUACACUGCAAUGAAAUCAUCAAAAGGAAGACAUUUGAAGAGAAGAGUACAUAUAAAAGGUUCUGGUCAAGAAGACACUGAUUGUAGCACUCCUUAAAAAGCUACUCAACUAGAAAUUGUCCUUAUAAAUUAAUUGUUAUCCAUAAAGUUGUUAUGAAACCUGAAACUACUGAAGUCAACUCUUUGGAAAGUAAUAAAAUUAAAGCACAUUCCUCA
rnacentral:lncRNA from 12 species